CCUACGGGAGGCAGCAGUGGGGAAUUUUGGACAAUGGGGGCAACCCUGAUCCAGCCAUGCCGCGUGAGUGAAGAAGGCCUUCGGGUUGUAAAGCUCUUUCGGCCGGAACGAAAUCGCGCACGUGAAUAACGUGCGUGGAUGACGGUACCGGAGUAAGAAGCACCGGCUAACUACGUGCCAGCAGCCGCGGUAAUACGUAGGGUGCGAGCGUUAAUCGGAAUUACUGGGCGUAAAGCGUGCGCAGGCGGUUCGCUAAGUCAGACGUGAAAGCCCCGGGCUUAACCUGGGAACGGCGUUUGAAACUGGCGGGCUCGAGUACGGCAGAGGGGGGUUGGAAUUCCACGUGUAGCAGUGAAAUGCGUAGAUAUGUGGAGGAACACCGAUGGCGAAGGCAGCCCCCUGGGCCGAUACUGACGCUCAUGCACGAAAGCGUGGGGAGCAAACAGGAUUAGAUACCCUGGUAGUCCACGCCCUAAACUAUGUCAACUAGUUGUCGGGGAAGCAAUUCCUUGGUAACGCAGCUAACGCGUGAAGUUGACCGCCUGGGGAGGUACGGUCGCGAGAUAAACUACAAUAGAGUAGACGGCGUGAGACGUGCCGAACGGACGACGACGAGGGAGGUAGG
rnacentral:rRNA from 1 species